GAUUUCAGACCUCGUUCUUAGUC
rnacentral:snRNA from 1 species